GGCUGCGCCAUUUUGGCCUAAUAGUUAAGUCGCUUCUGUGUGGAUGAAAAUUUUUAUUAGGAAAUUGGUGUUUUACUAUUAAAAUACUUUAUUACUAAAAAAAGCAAAUAGACAGGCAAUGAAAGGUUCUUCUGUAAAUCUGCAUUUGGCCAAAAUGCACAAGUUAUGAAAGAAAUUAUUCUACAAUAAAACUACAGAUCUUACCAAAUUUCUAGCUGAUAGUUAACUUGUGGCUGUUGUCAAUUGUGUUGCUCUGUCAUAACGGUAGUGUCACUCGUUUGCUAUUCAUUACUGAACAUCUUCUGUGCACUAGUUUACAUUGUUGGUCUUCUAUGGUGCAAUAUCUCCUGCUACAAACUCAUACUAGGAAACACUGAAGGAUAUUUGCUCAAUCUGCAAGUACCUAAUUCAACUUUAAGAUAUGAUUCACAUUUCUUGUAUCCCACACAUAAACUGGAGCUAGUUUAUUUUACCCUAUUUUCGGCAUUUCCACUGUUUCAUAUUUGCAUCACAUAGGAAAAAGAUUUUGAUCAAACCAGAGAAGAGAAAGUUAUCUAAGGAGGAUGAAAUGCAUUGGAUAAUAUGGGAUUUAGUCUGCAUGUUGAAUGUUUCUUAAAAUCCAACACUCUUCUUCUCAGCUAGAAGCUUCUGUGUGAAUAUGCAGUUAAUAUAACAGGACUCCAUUAGGUUGCAUGUUAUGCAAGUACAUUCUGUAAUCUGAUUGUCCUUUUUUCAUGUCUCAUCCUUCCUUGAUUGUGCCAAAUAUUCUGCUUGUAAUAAGCAUAUUGGCCAAAAUACCACGCCUGAUUUCCCAAAAACAUGUAAAAUUGAUUGAAAAGAAUGUAAAAAAUCAAAGCUUGUUAAUAGAAAUUGUUUUGUAUCACA